UUAUACAUUUUUAAUUACGAUUUUUUACGACCUUUAACUCAUUCAAAAAUUUUUCUUGCCGAUAUAUAUCGGCAAGUAAAAUUUUUGAAUGAAUUAAAGGUCGUAAAAAAUCGUUGCAUUGCAAAUUAUAAAUGAUCGACUUGGCAAAUUAUUUAAUUCGACUUCUUCGUGGACACUUACGAAGGAAAUGCGAUUAUGAAAAAGUCAACAUAUAACAAGAUAUGUAUUUAGUAAAGAUAUAUUAAA